GACUGAGAUAAUAGGAACGUGUCAAGGAGAGCUCAAGCAUAGGAGGAUAACGGGUCAAGAUAAGGCAAGGUGACAAAUACACUUAUUGGAGUACUCAAGGUUAUGAAUGUCGGACUCUCAAAGUGUUGAUAUAAUAAUGAAACGGUUGAAUCUUGAAAAGAUAAUCGGAUUGAAGUAACUUAUGCGGUUAGAAUAUGCUGUGGACGUUUUAGUUUAUACAACAUUUUACGUUUGGUCGUCAUCAUCUACCAACGGGUUAUGAAUGUCGGACUCUCAAAGUGUUGAUAUAAUAAUGAAACGGUUGAAUCUUGAAAAGAUAAUCGGAUUGAAGUAACUUAUGCGGUUAGAAUAUGCUGUGGACGUUUUAGUUUAUACAACAUUUUACGUUUGGUCGUCAUCAUCUACCAACGGGUAAAUCCUCAAUUCAGGCGACUUGGA
rnacentral:lncRNA from 1 species